ensembl:lncRNA
UGUUUGCAAUAUCCAGAGAGACUUGAUCCCCUGGCUGGACACCGCCUAACACAAAUCAGUUUGUCCUCCAAAAUAAAAUGCCUUGCUGAGAAUUACAUGACGAGGAUUUCAGCCGGGCCACGUCUUUCUCCUGGGGCUGCGCCCUGUCUAGCUCGGCUGAUAACCAGUGUGGCAUAAAAGCUUGCUGACUGCUGAUGGGAGGCUCUGUGGCUUCUGCCGCUGUUGGUAUCAGGGAGCCUCUGUGCUCUGACUGCCAGCAGCCGGCCAGCUCUGAGCCAACAGGCCCAGACAGGGGACUGAACGCUUUGAUCUCUGCUUCUGGGGGGCUGCUGGCGAUCCAGUCUCUCCAGCGCUGUGUCGGAAGGCUCAGCGGACAGUGAUCAGCCUUCCGAUGGUCAGCAGGACUCAAUUUGGAGAUUUCUGAAGGCGGAUCUAGGGAGACUUAAAGACGAUCAUCUGAGAGAAUGUUCCCCGGGAGGCAGCUGGCCAGUUACAGACUCCUGCAAAGGAGGCCACAGGAGAAGCGUUGACACGUGGGGCCAGUCAGGAGCCACCUCCGGUCCAGAGGUCGUCGUAGACACCCCGCCAGCGAUUCUCAGCACCUGGCUGUGCCGGUGCGAAGCGUCCUGGUUAAACAGGAAGGUUGGUUCACAGAGGGAGGACUGCCCUGCGGCCGGCUGGGAAAGGGCGUAUGCCAUCUCUUCUUGCUACCUGGGCUACCUGAACAAGCCCCCUCCGAUGACAUAACUUCUGAACAGUGGUGCUGUAACCGAUCUGCCGUGAGGAAGCUGCUUCCCCUUCAGCAAGGAAAGACCGGAGGGACCCCCACCCCCAUCUCCUCCACGCAGGGCAGGAGGGGUGUGGGCAGCACCUGGAUGGGGGAGAUGGGGCCCAGGGACAGCCCUCUGCAAACUGUGCCUGGGGGCGGAUCAAAGUGCUCUGCACUUGGCAACUGCCGGCAGCAUCCCCUUCAUCUCGGGGGGUUUCCUGUUCAAGCGGCUCGCCCUGCCCACAUGAAGGGAGCGCCUGUUCCGAGGCUGGUUCUGCAGAUGUAGAAGCAGUGAGAGACCUUCUCCUAAAUCAGAAUUACGUGCAGCCAAGGAAGGGCAAAGGGACCGGUGCAAUGCAGAUUUGCACAUCAUCCCGAUAAGCCAUCGUGGGACGGACGUCAGCGCCGCGCUGGUGAGCAGAGUCUGUCACACAGGCAUCUAAGAACACACGGCAUGGGACACGGUGUGCUCUCUGGAGGGGCCUUGCUUAUGGUCGUUGGUUCUCAGCGCAUGAUUUCUCUGCCAACGGAACGAAAGUCAUUCAUUUUGGGGGCCAGGUGUUCCUCACUCAGGCACCCCUUGUUCCUUCAUUAAUGUGUCAUCAGAGCCAUAUUUCUGUGUGCAUUUGGACACUGACUUACGUGAUCCAUGAGCCAUAAAGCCCAUCUUGCUAAGAAGAGGAUUUCCCCCAGUCCUGGUCAUUCGCCUUUCGUCUUCUUUGUCCCCGCUCCCUUGCUAGGAGUAGGGAAACCUGCUUUGCUGGUCGGCAGCUCACCAGUCCCUUCAAGGUGGCAAGCAGGGCGUAGGUCGUAAGCCCUCCGAAGCAGGGGUUCCACCCAGCCCGCCCUAAAAGGGAGUUUGAGAACCGGGGGAGCGUGAGACUUUCGGCAAGCAUCCUCGCGCUUGCUCUUCACACCGAGGGUGCAAGGCAGGCCGCAGCGGGCUGUGGGGUUAGCAACGGGAACCCCGUGGCCUCCGCUCGUGCUGCGGCCUUACAGAGAGUGUGCACGUGUCGAGUGAGCAUUGCACACAGGAGCGAGAGAGUCCUGGCAUCAGGGCACGAGGGCACUCACUGGCGGUGUCCACGCGUUUUCACAAAGUCAACAGCUGCCCCGUACGAAGCUUUGACGAUUCCAAUGUCCCCCUGUGGCGUCUGAUUUUCUUCAAGUGCGACACGGUUUGUCUUCAGAACCACAUGGAGUCCUCCUGACCACACGGCGCUCAGGGGCUCACUUCAUUAUCCUGCGGCCUGAAACAUGCCUUCAAGGCUGAUCGUUACUUUUAACAAAGAAGCUAAACUGUCCACGGCAUUUCCCCCCUCCUCCCUCUCCCUGUCGUUUCCCCCCUCCCCUCCCCUCCUCUUCCCUCUCUCCCCUCUUCCGAGGGUCUCCUAACAGGAGCCCAGGUAGGGAGAAGAGGCAGCUGUCCUGCCUGCUGCAGCGGGCGGGGCCCGUGACGCCCUGGCAGCACACGCAAGCUCGGUACACGCCAGCUGGCGCAUCACUCUUGCAGCCUCGGUGGUAAACACGCAGUUCCAUUUGGUCUCGCGGACUCGUGGGCCGUCUUAAUGGUUCUUUCUGAGUUCGCAUCAGUCACGGGAAGCACCAGGUACAGCUGUUACCGCCUUCUCUGUAAUUCUACCUCGCUCAAAGUCUCCACUGUGUCAUUGUAGCCGGGGACAGGUCAGUGCCAGAGCUGUAUGUCCCCUGAUUCAUGCCCCUUUACUGUUUUCUUGGUGACUUAAAAUCGACAUGAAUAUGUGCUCCAGCUCUCGGUCUUGGUAUGACGUUCCAUGUAGCAGCAGUUAGCAAAUCAUCUAUUAGGAUUCUCUCAGUACUUCCGUGGUGGGGGUGUGUGUGUGUGUGUGUGUGCACGCGCGCACCUGAGGAAUCCGGUUCUCUCGAUACACUCGUGGACAUGCAGACAAUCUUCCCAGCUUUCAGUGUGCAGAAACCGACAUCCUGAUGGGGUUACUGUGUUAUAAAACAUUUACUGGUGAUGUUUAGGAUCAGUCUUAAUGUGAACUGAUAAAUUUCGGAGAAUUUACAUAGUUUCAAUAGGAUACCGCAAAAUUAUUUAGAAAAUAUCUAGACUUAUAAAGUUUCGUGCUAAUAGAGAGCCAGUGCUGUGGCAUAGCAGGUAAAGCUGCCACCUGCAGUGCCGGCAUCCCAUAUGGGCAACGGUUUGAGUCCUGGCUGCUCCACUUCCGAUCCAGCUCUCUGCUGUGGCCUGAAAAAGCAGGAGAAAAUGGCCCAAGUCCUUGGGCCCCUACAACCGCAUGGAAAACCUGGAAGAAGCUCCUGGCUCCUGGCUUCAGAUCGGCACAGCUCCGGCUGUUGAGGCCAUCUGGGGAGUGAACCAGUGGAUGGAAGAUCUCUCUCUCUCUCUUUCUCUCCCACCCUCUUUCUCUCUCUCUCUCUCUCUGCCUCUCCUCUCUCUGUGUAACUCAAGUAAAUAAAUAAAUCUUUAUAAAUGUUUAGUACUAACA